UACGUCCCUGCCCUUUGUACAC
rnacentral:ncRNA from 2 species